AAAGAAAAAACCCGCAGCUUCUCCAUUCUAUGAUCAUGAAACUGAUUAACGGCAGCUGAUCUGUCGUAACAACAAUGGUUGUUCCGCCCACAGCUUCUCGGCGAGUGUCGUUCGCUUGCUGCUGUCCUGCCACUUGAGUGUUGCUGCCGGCGACUCGUCGCAAACACGCCGCUGAGUUGUCGCUGAGUACUGGCACCGAGCGGCACUUGCCACAGACUUGUGUUGGGGAAAAUCAUAUAACCUUGGUUGAACUCCUUAGAGUUAGCCAGCAUAAAUAAUGAUGUACCUUGCUAUGACACGUUAUGUAACAUGUUCUCCUGAAUGCGGACUACGAUCCCUUGUUAUCUAGUGCGGUCGGGUCACUGUCACCUUGAUCCAACCGGAGUAAAUCAUGUGCCGGCUCUUCAAAUAAUUGAUGUGAUUGGUUAGAAGGUCUGAUGGGAGGGUUACAUUUACACUACAAAUAUGUGCUAAAUAUUCUAGAAAGACGGACUUGUUCACUUGUUGGAUGUUGCCUUGUGCUCAUUAAUACAGUCCCGCUGGGUUGCUACAUCAAAUCAUUGUCUCUCUGCUCUUCAUUUUGCCACAACAUAUUGGAGCCCAAGCCUUAGACUUAAGUAUAAGCAAUUAAAGGUAAAGACAACACAUAGUCAAAGUCUGACAUUAGGAGAAGAUAAAAACACAGACCUGAAUAAAAAACUGACUGCUGACAAAUACACCAGGGUGGCUUUGCAUGAUUACUAACUAGUGGCUAUGCAUUAUUAUAAACUAUUGGCUUUGCAUAAUACAAACUAUUGGCUUUGCAUGAUUACUAACUAUUGGCUUUGGAUAAUUAUGAACUAAUAGCUUUGUUUUACAAUUUGUUUUUGUUAUUAUUAUUUUAUUUUAUUUUAUAUUUAUUUUUUGAAUUAUUUUAAGAAUGCAGCAGUGAGCAUAAUCUAAACGAUGAUUAAUGAGAAAUAACCUGCUUGGGCUUUAUAAAAUAAAAUAGAGGGGGGAAAUGAGUGCGACACCAGUGGAACGUGUAAAGAAGAGAGGUAGAACUAAAAACAAUGUACUUGUUUAAGGUUGAAGGUCAGGGAGUUAGGAAGGAGUGUAAGAGACGGGUUAGUGGAAUUAAUAGAUAAAUAGAAAGACAAAGCAAGUCAGAGGGGACGAGAAGAGAGAGCAUAAAGGGGAGUUAGGAAAGAAUGGAAGAGACGGGUUAGUUGAAUUUAUAGAAAGAAUAAGCAAGUAAGAGAGAGCAGAGAGGGGAGUUAGUUCAGACGCAUUUAACACCGCAUGACAUGUUAACAGGCACACCGAUGCCAGCACCUCAACUCAGGGGGCCCUACAAGGGAACCCCACUUGAGAAGCUGCAGCUGGAGCUAAACGACUAUAUGGAGCAACUAACUGCCAUACAUAGAUCUAUCUAUCUCCAGGAGAAGGGAAAGGAACCGAGGUCCGACCAGAAACCUGAGAAACCAGUGGUACCAGGGGUACAUCAAGAUCUUCCGGCGACAGUGGCACGAGCCAAGACUGGAAGGUCCCUCCAGAGCGGUGCGAGCAACGCCAACAGCGGUCCAGGUGGAAGGAAGUACAACGUGGUCUCACUUGAGUCUUUGCACGAAGGACAAAACCAAGGACUGUUGAAAGCAGAGGACAAUGACCGACCAGGUGAGCCUGGAACAUGUGUUAAAACUAAUGAGCUUCCUGAUAUGGACGUUGACGGGGAGCAUGGGGAAGGAGAGACCGACGAUGGUGGAACCUGAGACGACAUCAGAGAGCAGGCAGGACAGCAGCCAGAUGAUGACCCUUCAUCCAUCUUGGAGAGAAGCCAGGAGCCAUGAAUCAAGUUGAGUACGAUGCAACCACAUCUAUUCAAACCCAUGAUAGACCAGGACCUAUGCCAGCAUUGUCAAAGCUUACACUUAGAAAUGCUGGCAAGGGGGGGUGGUUAUGGGAUUGGUUAGACCAAAUGUUUGGAGAAUGGGGGUCUGUAUUGGUAAAUACGGGCAUUAACGCAUUGAUAGUCCUAAUUGUAGCUUUUCUAUUGGCAUGUUGCAUCGUACCCAUCCUGAGGAGGCAGUGUCGGAGAACGAUGGACAAACAGACGGUGUUACGACCUCCAACUGGCUCAGAUGAUGAACAUGAUGACGAUCGAUCGAGGGACAAAGGCCCAGUUUGCUCAAAUGGUGAUUGGACGACCGAACCCGUUUCCCAUUUCGGACUAACUGAAGGACUCAGACUACAUGGAGGAAACGGGACUAGAAGGCAUGUCAGCCAAGACGACAACCUGAAGGUUGUUGAAAGAAGAACAAGUCCAAGAUCACCACGUCACAUGUUGGAUUAUCUUUCCAGAAGGACGAAGCGAGAAAUUUAUAACAAAUAAGAGUAUGUUACGAUAAAAUGCAUGUAUUAAUCAAAUGAUUCCCAUCGCAAAUGUACUAGUGUUUUAGCAAAAACACAUGUUGAAUUGAGGUGUAUUAUAAACUGUGCAUCUAAUAAGUACAGGUAUAGGGUUAAAUAAUUAGCAGAAACUACAAUGUGUGAUGAAUCAGUUAAAUGCAUGUUUGUCUGAAGAACAGGUUCACUUCAUGCCAGAGCGGUGGUCGCUUGGCGGGACACGACCAUAAGGACGUUUUUCCUGUAACAGCAACCUAUGGGUUUUUUCGUCCUUAUAUGAAAAGUGAACCUGUAAUAUUGCAUCAUGUAUUUGAAAUGAUCUUGUUAAAUUAAAAUGUUAUGUAUUCUUAUAUAAUCAAGUAUAUAUAAUUUACAUAACCACUCAGUCAUGAAUUCUGAAAAGAGUGUAUAACCACUACGUUGUUAUCAUGCUGUAAGAGAUCAAUACUUUGGGUUACAUGUCCUAUCAGACCAAUGUUAUAUGAAAUUAGGAUGGGGGUCCAGAGACCCCCAGAGGGGGGAUAUGUUGGGGGAAAUCAUAUAACCUUGGUUGAACUCCUUAGAGUUAGCCAUCAUAAAUAAUGAUGUACCUUGCUAUGACACGUUAUGUAACAGAUGUUCUCCUGAAUGCGGACUACGAUCCCUUGUUAUCUAGUGCGGUCGGGUCACUGUCACCUUGAUCCAACCGGAGUAAAUCAUGUGCCCGGCUCUUCAGAUAAUUGAUGUGAUUGGUUAAAAGGUCUGAUGGGAGGGUUACAUUUACACUACAAAUAUGUGCUAAAUAUUCUAGAAAGACGGACUUGUUCACUUGUUGGAUGUUGCCUUGUGCUCAUGAAUACAGUCCCGCUGGGUUGCUACAUCAAAUCAUUGUCUCUCUGCUCUUCAUUUUGCCACAACACUUGCCACUGAGUUGUCGGUGCCAGUGAUUGCACUCGCCCUCUCUCAUCUCUGUUGCCACCGACCUCGACUGCAGGAACCUGGUGUGACACUCGACAGUCAACUCUCCCUGACUGCCGACAUUACACCUGCAACACGUUCCUGUAGGUCCAUGCUGCUCAACAUCAGGAGAAUCAACCUCUGCUCACUCAGGAGGAGGCACAGGUUCUGGUCCAGGUUCUGAUCAUCUCACACCUGGACUACUAACUCCCUCCUGGCAGGUCUACCUGCUAGUGCCAUCCGACCUCUGCAGCUCAUCCAGAACGCAGCAGCUCGACUGGGCGGAGAAAGCAGAAGGCAACCAAAGAGACGGCGGGCAUGGCGAAGCUCCCGGACCUGAAGGACGCCGAGGCCGUGCAGAAGUUCUUCCUGGAGGAGAUCCAGCUGGGGGAGGAGCUGCUGGCUCAGGGUAA